AAACACAAAUUCUUUUCCCGAUCAUUUUUACGACAGCUAUUUCGACUUCUCAGAAAUAUUCUCGAUUUCAAUACCGACCAUGAACGUUCGUUUCGCUUUAUUAUUGGCAACUAGCCAAAUGUUUCUCAGUAACGCGUUUCAACUGCCACCAAUAUUUCUUCUUCUACAGUGCAUACAUACUACAUGUAUGAGUAAAAUUCGUAUCGAUAUAAGCUCGUGAUUGAGCAUCGUCUCAGCUAUAAUCGCAUUCAAGUACAUUACAUUGAGGUUCAAUGCCAGUCCAGAUCGCCCAGUGUUUUACUACAUUCUAAAACCAGUUUUGUGAUAGUCGUAACCAUAUGGGUGUCACGUAUGAAAUGUCGCCAGUCUUAUUGUGUUAUGUCAUUUAUUAGUAUGCCUUCUUUCUAUUCUUAUUCGAGCGUAUGCGAAUUGCUUGAAAUAAUAAAAAUUAUUCUUGACACGAAUAAUUCGAGAAAAUGGAACUAUCUUCUAAAUUAUGUUCAUUGUAGUCAACACAUCUUUAUUUCUUUGUAUAUUUAAUAUCCUUCCAAGCUGUUUUCAUUCGCGAAAUAUAAUGAAAUUUCGAAAUUUGAUCACAACUUGAUGAGAAUCGCAGAGAUCUCUCGUUGAGUGAACGGAAAAAGUUCCUCGAUAUGCGGCAACCAUCUUGUGAUGUGAAUUUUAAAUUGCUUAUUUUCCCAAGACACUUCAGGUUCAAUGAACAAUCGACUAAGAACGAGGCAGCUGUCAGUCCAUGUGCCGCAGCGUGAUAUGUAAAUGGGACGUAAAUUCGUAAGCAUGGCGAUGGGGUAAGCAGCCCUUUGGAUGGAAACCUUUACGGGUUAAGGCAGACGCUGUACACUAUUAUUUUUACAUCGAUGUCACGGAUCCGUCCGCAUUUUAAGCCAGUCAAAUACACUCUAUAAUGGAUUUCAGAGUUUUCCGUUAAUAACUGAAAACGAGAACGAAUAUCACGAGACGUCCAAUGAGUUUACGUCAUUAAUCGAUAAUAUUAACCAGAGUUUCUACGGAACGGUUAUUGUACCCUACUGAAAUAAGCACGUAAAAAG